GAUGAAGAACGCAGCGAAAUGCGAUAAGUAGUGUGAAUUGCAGAAUUCAGUGAAUCAUCGAAUCUUUGAACGCACAUUGCGCCCCUCGGUAUUCCGUGGGGCAUGCCUGUUCGAGCGUCAUUUACCCCUCAAGCACUGCUUGGUGUUGGGCGUCUGUCCCGCUUCGCGCGCGGACUCGCCCAAAGGUAUUGGCAGCGGUCGUGCCAGCUUCUCGCGCAGCACAUUGCGCUUCUCGAGGCGGUCGAUCGGCGUCCACGAAGCUCACCUCCACCGUUUGACCUCGGAUCAGGUAGGGAUACCCGCUGAACUUAAGCAUACAAUAAGCGGAGGA
rnacentral:misc_RNA from 1 species